GAUUUCUGACGAAACUGCUAGCUGGCCCGCCAGCAAUGGUGAGUGCCGGCUUGGCGUUUGUCAUCCGUUCGAAUGAUAUGCGCGCUGCCCUUCACUGGGUUGGCGCUGCAUGUUUUCGAUCUUUUACUUUGAAAAAAUUAGAGUGUUUCAAGCAGGCAUGUUUUGCUAUGAAUACAUUAGCAUGGAAUAAUAAUUUAGGACUUCGGUUCUAUUUUGUUGGUUUCUAGGACUGAAGUAAUGAUUGAUAGGGAUAGUUGGGGGUGCUAGUAUUCAGCGGCCAGAGGUGAAAUUCUCGGAUUCGCUGAAGACUAACUUAUGCGAAAGCAUU
rnacentral:rRNA from 2 species